rnacentral:rRNA from 1 species
AUUGAGAACAACGUACAAACCUUAUCGAUAAACAAUUGGAGGGCAAGUCUGGUGCCAGCAGCCGCGCUAAUUCCAGCUCCAAUAGCGUAUAUUAACGUUGUUGCAGUUAAAAAGCUCGUAGUUGAAAUGAAGGGUAGUUGUGUAAUGAAUACAUUCGUGUAUUUUGUUAUUCUACUACCCUCCUUCUAAAUUCGAUAUAUGAGUAUUAAUUUACUUGUAUAUGGUUUUAGACGUUUACUGCGAGAAAAUUAGAGUGUUCAAAGCAGGCAUUUGCUUGAAUAUAUUAGCAUGGAAUAAUCAUGUAUGAUUUUCAUGAUGUAUUUGAUUGGUUUGGUUCAUGAGAAUAAGAUUAAAAGGGACAGUUGGGGGUAUUCAUAUUCAAUAGUCAGAGGUGAAAUUCUCGGAUUUAUGGAAGAUGAACAAGUGCGAAAGCAUCUACCAAGGAUGUUUUCAUUAAUCAAGAACGAAAGUUAGGGGAUCGAAGAGGAUUAGAUACCCUCGUAGUCUUAAAUAUA